CUGCCCUAAAGUCUGGGAUACCACUUGGAAACAGGUGCUAAUACCGGAUAACAACAAUAGCUGCAUGGCUAUUGCUUAAAAGGCGGCGAAAGCUGUCGCUAAAGGAUGGACCCGCGGUGCAUUAGCUAGUUGGUAAGGUAAUGGCUUACCAAGGCGACGAUGCAUAGCCGAGUUGAGAGACUGAUCGGCCACAUUGGGACUGAGACACGGCCCAAACUCCUACGGGAGGCAGCAGUAGGGAAUCUUCCACAAUGGGCGAAAGCCUGAUGGAGCAACGCCGCGUGAGUGAAGAAGGUUUUCGGAUCGUAAAGCUCUGUUGUUGGUGAAGAAGGAUAGAGGUAGUAACUGGCCCCUAUUUGACGGUAAUCAACCAGAAAGUCACGGCUAACUACGUGCCAGCAGCCGCGGUAAUACGUAGGUGGCAAGCGUUGUCCGGAUUUAUUGGGCGUAAAGCGAGCGCAGGCGGAAAGAUAAGUCUGAUGUGAAAGCCCCCGGCUUAACCGAGGAAUUGCAUCGGAAACUGUGUUUCUUGAGUGCAGAAGAGGAGAGUGGAACUCCAUGUGUAGCGGUGGAAUGCGUAGAUAUAUGGAAGAACACCAGUGGCGAAGGCGGCUCUCUGGUCUGUAACUGACGCUGAGGCUCGAAAGCAUGGGUAGCGAACAGGAUUAGAUACCCUGGUAGUCCAUGCCGUAAAC
rnacentral:rRNA from 1 species